AGCUUUGCACAGUGGCAGUAUCAUAACCAAUGAAGUUAAUCUGAGGUGUGAUUAUUGCUAGUGAAAAUCCGCUCCUCUCCCCCUUCCUGGUGGUAGAUGGUACAGUACUACUGUAGACAGCAAAACUG
rnacentral:snRNA from 1 species